rnacentral:rRNA from 1 species
CCUACGGGAGACAGCAGUGAGGAAUAUUGGUCAAUGGGCGCGAGCCUGAACCAGCCAAGUAGCGUGAAGGAUGACUGCCCUACGGGUUGUAAACUUCUUUUAUAAAGGAAUAAAGUGAGGCACGUGUGCCUUUUUGUAUGUACUUUAUGAAUAAGGAUCGGCUAACUCCGUGCCAGCAGCCGCGGUAAUACGGAGGAUCCGAGCGUUAUCCGGAUUUAUUGGGGGUAACGGGAGCUUAGAUGGGUUGUUAAGUCAGUUGUGAAAGUUUGCGGCUCAACCGUCAAAUUGCAAUUGAUACUGGCAGUCUUGAGUACAGUUGAGGUAGGCGGAAUUCCUGGUGUAGCGGUGAAAUGCUUAGAUAUCACGCAGAACUCCGAUUGCGAAGGCAGCUUACUAAACUGCACCUGACAUUGAUGCUCGAAAGUGUGGGUAUCAAACAGGCUUCGAUACCCGGGUAGUC